rnacentral:rRNA from 1 species
UACGUAGGGGCAAGCGUUGUCCGGAUUAUUGGGCGUAAAGAGCGUGUAGGCGGCCGUACAGGUCAGCUGUGAAACUCGAGGCUCAACCUCGAGACGUCGGUUGAAACCGUACGGCUAGAGUCCGGAAGAGGAGAGUGGAAUUCCCGGUGUAGCGGUGAAAUGCGCAGAUAUCGGGAAGAACACCCGUGGCGAAGGCGGGUCUCUGGGCCGUAACUGACGCUGAGGAGCGAAAGCGUGGGGAGCGAACAGG